ensembl:lncRNA
CUCAGUGCCCCCGAUCACAAUCUUUCCUAGGAUGGCUAAACCGGGCAGCGUUUGUUAUGAUUGUUAUGACAGCCAUGCAAGGACCAUCUACUUCCUAGGUUGAAACUUCCUCUUUUUUGCAGUGUCUCUCUCCCAGAACUCUCCAAAAAUAAACUCAGAAGCCUUCACAUAGCUCAUGACCUUGGUGGAUAAUUGAAUGCAGAGAAUGCGCUGGACCCAUUAUGGGCCAGAUCCAGAAGGAAGGUAACCCGGGCGCUGACCCACCACCACUAACCUCCCUGCCCCCAUCUUCUUCCUCUGGGCAGUCUCAGAUGAUCCCCGGGCACCUGUGGAGCCAUUUCCUCUGUAACCGGUCCAGCCCCAGCCUCUCCUGGGGAAACCUCCUCCUCAUCACUAAGAGGCAGCCUCCUGCUGUAGGUGAGAAUUCCCCUCUCUCACUGCCCAUUUGCUGUUGUUUAUUUUUUCCCUUUCUUGAAGGAGCAUUUCCUUCUCCCUGAUAACUUGAAAUUACCUGUGUCCUCCAGCCCUGGGACCAAGAUGGCAACCCACUUCCAUCUUGUCUAAUUGCGCAGCAAUGGGGCUCCCUUCCAGGUUGCUGGGAAAUUCUCCAAUCUGCAAAAAGCUUGAGCCUAAUUCCUCUGUCUUUUAAAAAUUGAAUCUGCGUUAUUGAUGUUUUAUCUACUGGGUAGGACGAUGAAUAGAGCCACAGACACUUAGUACUUGUGUGAUCCUGGGGGAGUCACUUCACCCUGCUUGUCUCAUUUGUAAAAUGAGCUGGAGAAGGAAAGGGCCGACCGCUCCAUCUUUGACAAGAACAGGGUCACAAAACAUUGUCUCAUGUGGCUCUUUUCAGGCCAGUUCCCAUGGUCUUGGGAUGGAGAGAGCCAUCUGCACCCAGAGAGAAGACUGUGGGACUGAGUGUGGACCCCACAGAGCAUUUUCACCUUUUGUUGUUGUUCACUUGUAUUUUGUUUUCUUCCUCUUUUUUUUCCUUUUUGAUCUGAUUUUUCUUGUGCAGAAUAAUUGUGGCAAUAUGUAUAUAGAAUGAUGUUUAACAUAUAAUGGAUUAUUUGUCUUCUAGGGGAGGGGUGGGGAGAACAAAAUGUGGAACACAAGGUUUUGCAAAGGUGAAUGUUGAAAAUUAUCUAUGCAUAUGUUUUGAAAAUAAAAAACUUAAAUUUUUUAAAAAACCCAACAUUGUCCCAUAUAAUACAUUUAGUAAUGCAGAUUCAAUUUUUAAGCAAAUCAUAUGCAUUUCCCUUAUCUUCAACCCCUCCCAGAGCUGGUUGACCAGCACAAUCCUAGACAGGAGAUAUCUACUCACCUACCUCUGGAUCAGGGCUUCUUAUACUUUUUGCACUUGCGUCUCUUUUUAUAUCCAAGGAAUUUUUACUAAACCCCAAGCAUAUAGGGAUAUAAAAUAGGUAUAAAAAUAAAAUUUAUAAUAAAUCAUAAAAAAUUUAUUUUAUGUUUUCGUGAUUGUACAUGUAUAACUUAUGUCUGAUUGUUUACCAUCUCAGGGAGAGGGGAGGGGAGGAAGGGAAGAAUAGAACUUGGAACUUCAAAUAAAAAUGUUUUAAAAUGAAAAAAAUAGAAAUUUAUUUUAAAACAAUUUUUGGUAUGCAUAUGAUUUUAUCAUUUAUUAAGGAGA